rnacentral:rRNA from 1 species
GUCGGGAAUAUUGCGCAAUGGAGGAAACUCUGACGCAGUGACGCCGCGUAUAGGAAGAAGUUUUUCGGAAUGUAAACUAUUGUCGUUAGGGAAGAGAGAGGACGGUACCUAAGGAGGAAGCUCCGGCUAACUACGUGCCAGCAGCCGCGGUAAUACGUAGGGAGCGAGCGUUAUCCGGAAUUAUUGGGUGUAAAGGGUGCGUAGACGGGAAUACAAGUUAGUUGUGAAAUCCCUCGGCUUAACUGAGGAACUGCAACUAAAACUAUAUUUCUUGAGUGCAGGAGAGGUAAGUGGAAUUCCUAGUGUAGCGGUGAAAUGCGUAGAUAUUAGGAGGAACACCAGUGGCGAAGGCGGCUUACUGGACUGUAACUGACGUUGAGGCUCGAAAGCGUGGGGAGCAAACAGGA